AUUCAGCUGACAAGUCUCAGAUAGGACGAAACGCGCGUUGCGGAU
rnacentral:hammerhead_ribozyme from 1 species